rnacentral:tRNA from 1 species
UGUCGGACUUCAAAGCCGCAGAGCAGUGGCUGCCACAGCGGGCGGAGGU